rnacentral:RNase_P_RNA from 2 species
AAAAUAGACUAUCCUAUCGCUUUUUAAAGAGGAAAGUCCGAACAACAAAGAGCAGCGUGCUUCCUAACUGGAAGGGGGAUCUUCGGAUUCAACAGCAAGUGCCACAGAAAAUUACCGCCUUCGGGUAAGGGUGAAAAGGUGGGGUAAGAGCCCACCGCUGGUUUGGUGACAAAACAGGCUUAGGUAAACCUCACGCGUUGCAAGAUCAAAUAGGCUAGCUGCCGCAAGGCAAAAGGGUGGCUCGUCCGAUGCUAGUGGGUAGAUUGCUACAGGUAAACAGUGAUGUUUAUCGAAGAUAAAUGAUAGGACGGUGGGUAACCAUUGACAGAAUUCGGCUUAUCGGUUUAUUUUCUCU